GCAAGUCGAGCGGUAAGGCCCUUCGGGGUACACGAGCGGCGAACGGGUGAGUAACACGUGGGUGAUCUGCCUCGUACUCUGGGAUAAGCCUGGGAAACUGGGUCUAAUACCGGAUAUGACCACGAAUCGCAUGGUUUGUGGUGGAAAGAUUUAUCGGUGCGAGAUGGGCCCGCGGCCUAUCAGCUUGUUGGUGGGGUAAUGGCCUACCAAGGCGACGACGGGUAGCCGGCCUGAGAGGGCGACCGGCCACACUGGGACUGAGACACGGCCCAGACUCCUACGGGAGGCAGCAGUGGGGAAUAUUGCACAAUGGGCGGAAGCCUGAUGCAGCGACGCCGCGUGAGGGAUGACGGCCUUCGGGUUGUAAACCUCUUUCGACAGGGACGAAGCGCAAGUGACGGUACCUGUAGAAGAAGCACCGGCCAACUACGUGCCAGCAGCCGCGGUAAUACGUAGGGUGCGAGCGUUGUCCGGAAUUACUGGGCGUAAAGAGCUUGUAGGCGGUUCGUCGCGUCGAUCGUGAAAACUUGCAGCUCAACUGCGAGCUUGCGGUCGAUACGGGCGGACUAGAGUACUGCAGGGGAGACUGGAAUUCCUGGUGUAGCGGUGAAAUGCGCAGAUAUCAGGAGGAACACCGGUGGCGAAGGCGGGUCUCUGGGCAGUAACUGACGCUGAGAAGCGAAAGCGUGGGUAGCGAACAGGAUUAGAUACCCUGGUAGUCCACGCCGUAAACGGUGGGCGCUAGGUGUGGGUUUCCUUCCACGGGAUCCGUGCCGUAGCUAACGCAUUAAGCGCCCCGCCUGGGGAGUACGGCCGCAAGGCUAAAACUCAAAGGAAUUGACGGGGGCCCGCACAAGCGGCGGAGCAUGUGGAUUAAUUCGAUGCAACGCGAAGAACCUUACCUGGGUUUGACAUACACCAGAAAGCUGCAGAGAUGUAGCCCCCCUUGUGGUUGGUGUACAGGUGGUGCAUGGCUGUCGUCAGCUCGUGUCGUGAGAUGUUGGGUUAAGUCCCGCAACGAGCGCAACCCUUGUCCUGUGUUGCCAGCGCGUUAUGGCGGGGACUCGCAGGAGACUGCCGGGGUCAACUCGGAGGAAGGUGGGGACGACGUCAAGUCAUCAUGCCCCUUAUGUCCAGGGCUUCACACAUGCUACAAUGGCCGGUACAGAGGGCUGCGAUACCGUGAGGUGGAGCGAAUCCCUUAAAGCCGGUCUCAGUUCGGAUCGGGGUCUGCAACUCGACCCCGUGAAGUUGGAGUCGCUAGUAAUCGCAGAUCAGCAACGCUGCGGUGAAUACGUUCCCGGGCCUUGUACACACCGCCCGUCACGUCAUGAAAGUCGGUAACACCCGAAGCCGGUGGCCUAACCCUUGUGGAGGG
rnacentral:rRNA from 1 species